CCAAUAGCGUAUAUUAAAGUUGUUGCAGUUAAAAAGCUCGUAGUUGAAUUUCGGGGUUCUACCGUUGGUCGGGCAAUUGUCUGUACUGGCGUGUGGAAUUUCUACCUUCUGGGGAACCAUCAUGUUAUUAAUUUAGCGUGGUGGGAAACCAGGACCUUUACCUUGAAAAAAUUAGAGUGUUCAAAGCAGGCUUACGUCUGAAUACAUUAGCAUGGAAUAAUAAAAUAGGACGGUGGUCCUGUUUUGUUGGUUUCUGAAUCACCGAAAUGAUUAAUAGGGAUAGUUGGGGGCAUUAGUAUUCAAUUGUCAGAGGUGAAAUUCUUGGAUUUAUUGAAGACUAACUUCUGCGAAAGCAUUUGCCAAGGAUGUUUUCAUUAAUCAAGAACGAAAGUUAGGGGAUCGAAGACGAUCAGAUACCGUCGUAGUCUUAACCAUAAACUAUGCCGACUAGGGAUCGGACGAUGUUAAUUUUUCUUGACUCGUUCGGCGCCUUACG
rnacentral:rRNA from 1 species